rnacentral:misc_RNA from 1 species
UAAACAUUCUCCAGACAGCCGAUACUUGAACAUUACACAUGGCGACCUUGGCGACAAUGUAUAUUGCCGGAGUGCCUGAGGGUUCAUCUGUGUCCUAACGGUCCUUCCACCGAAUGUUCUGGAAGCGUGGCAGCGGUCGCGUGCGCCUGCAGGGUGGUGGGGAUGAUGAAGGAUGAAAAACAAAAGAAGAAACAGAUGUCACCGAAAGUAAAAAAUAUUGAUACAUCAACGUUGGAUAAAACAAGAUUACGGUUUUGGCCUACGGGACAUCCGACCAAAGGUGUAUCAAGCAACCUGGACUACGAAAAACGGU